rnacentral:lncRNA from 1 species
CAGAGAUGAUCAGAGGGCUGGAGCAUCUCCCCUACGAGGACACGCUGACAGAUCUGGGGCUCUUCAAUCUGGAGAAGAGAAGGCUCUGAGGAGACCUUCUAGCAGCCUUCCAGUACCUGAAGGGGUCCCACAGAAAAGCUGGGGAGGGACUUUUUAUAAAGGCAGAUGGCGACAGGACAAGGGGAAAUGGUUUUAAACUGGAGGGGUAGAUUUAGAGUAGAUAUCAGGAAAAAAAUUCCUUACUGUGAGGGUGGUGAGACACGGGAACAGGUUGACCAGAAAGGCUGUGGAUGACCCCUCCCUGGAAGCCUUCAAGGCCAGGCUGGAUGGGGCUGUGAGCAACCUGGUCUAGAGGGAGGUGUCCCUGCUUAUAGUAGGGGGGGUGGAACUAAAUGAUCCUAAAGGUCCUUCCAACCCAAACCAUUCUAUGAUACUAUGAUUCUAUGAUUCUUCUCUUUAAAAAAUUCAUUGUUCUACUUUAUGUCAUAAUGAAGUCCAUGCGCUCUUUGGCAGCAUAUAUACUAAAAUUGAAAGGAGACAGAAAAGAUUAAUGCGGCACCUGCACAAAUUGAUUUGGGAGUGAUAGGAAGAUUCUACAAUACAAAAAAAAAAAAAAAUAGACAUACAGAGCAAGUCUAGCAGCAGGCUGCAAACUGACUGAGGGCUGGAGAACAGGUGUGUGAGGAGAGGCUGAGAGAGCUGAGUCUGCUCGGUUUGAAGAAUAGAAGGCUCAGAGGAGACCUGGCUGCAGCAGCUAUCUGACCUCAGGAUACAAAGACGGAGGCAGAAUGUUCUUGUGGAUGCACAGAGACAGCCAACAGACACAAGCAGGAACAUGGGAAAUUCAAAUUACAGAACAAGAAAAAAAAAUAACAUGGAAGUGGUCAAAUACUGGAGUAGAAGGUGCGAGAUUGCUAUCUUAGGAAAUAUGUAAAGCUUGAGGGGUAUGACCCUGAGCAACCUGAUUCAGUCAGAUCUCUUUUGAGUGUGGAGUUGGACAAAACAACCUCUUGAGGUCUGAUGUCUUCCAACAUAGGUUAUUCUUUGAUUCUAUGAAAACCAGCUUUCUUGAUUCAGAAGUCUACUGGUUUUAGAUGUUCUUCACUUUAAAGACAAGAAGCAAGAAAGAUCUUUGACAGAGAUCCAG